GCGGACCUACGGGGCCGCAUAACCUUUCAGGCCCAAAUUGGUCUGAGACUAAAACGGAAGACAGAAA
rnacentral:ncRNA from 1 species